AAUGGGUCAGCGACUUAUAUUCUGUAGCAAGGUUAACCGAAUAGGGGAGCCGAAGGGAAACCGAGUCUUAACUGGGCGUUAAGUUGCAGGGUAUAGACCCGAAACCCGGUGAUCUAGCCAUGGGCAGGUUGAAGGUUGGGUAACACUAACUGGAGGACCGAACCGACUAAUGUUGAAAAAUUAGCGGAUGACUUGUGGCUGGGGGUGAAAGGCCAAUCAAACCGGGAGAUAGCUGGUUCUCCCCGAAAGCUAUUUAGGUAGCGCCUCGUGAAUUCAUCUCCGGGGGUAGAGCACUGUUUCGGCAAGGGGGUCAUCCCGACUUACCAACCCGAUGCAAACUGCGAAUACCGGAGAAUGUUAUCACGGGAGACACACGGCGGGUGCUAACGUCCGUCGUGAAGAGGGAAACAACCCAGACCGCCAGCUAAGGUCCCAAAGUCAUGGUUAAGUGGGAAACGAUGUGGGAAGGCCCAGACAGCCAGGAUGUUGGCUUAGAAGCAGCCAUCAUUUAAAGAAAGCGUAAUAGCUCACUGGUCGAGUCGGCCUGCGCGGAAGAUGUAACGGGGCUAAACCAUGCACCGAAGCUGCGGCAGCGACACUAUGUGUUGUUGGGUAGGGGAGCGUUCUGUAAGCCUGUGAAGGUGGCCUGUGAGGGUUGCUGGAGGUAUCAGAAGUGCG
rnacentral:rRNA from 1 species